GACGAACGCUGGCGGCGCGCCUAACACAUGCAAGUCGAACGAGCGAGCGAGAGGUUGCUGUCUUGAGCGAGUGGCGGACGGGUGAGUAACGGGUGAGGAACCUGCCCCAAAGAGGGGGACAACAGUUGGAAACGACAGCUAAUACCGCAUAAGCCCACGGUGCCGCAUGGCACAGAGGGAAAAGGAGCACUCCGCGUUGGGAUGGCGUCGCGUCCGGUUAGCUGGUUGGUGAGGUAACGGCCCACCAAGGCGACGAUCGGUAGCCGGGCUGGGAGGUUGAGCGGAGACAUUGGGGCGGGGAAGCGGCCCGGACUCCUGCGGGAGGCAGCAGAGGGGAAUAUUGCACUAUGGGGGGAACCAUGAUGCAGCGACGCCGCGUGGGGGAAGAAGGUCUUCAGAUUGUAAAGUCCUGUUGUUGGGGAAGAUAAUGACGGUACCCAACGAGGAAGUGACGGCUAACUACGUG
rnacentral:rRNA from 1 species